GGGAACGAUAACGGCGUCGAGCGGCGGACGGGUGAGUAAUGCCUAGGAAAUUGCCCUGAUGUGGGGGAUAACCAUUGGAAACGAUGGCUAAUACCGCAUGAUGCCUACGGGCCAAAGAGGGGGACCUUCGGGCCUCUCGCGUCAGGAUAUGCCUAGGUGGGAUUAGCUAGUUGGUGAGGUAAGGGCUCACCAAGGCGACGAUCCCUAGCUGGUCUGAGAGGAUGAUCAGCCACACUGGAACUGAGACACGGUCCAGACUCCUACGGGAGGCAGCAGUGGGGAAUAUUGCACAAUGGGCGCAAGCCUGAUGCAGCCAUGCCGCGUGUAUGAAGAAGGCCUUCGGGUUGUAAAGUACUUUCAGUCGUGAGGAAGGCGGCGUCGUUAAUAGCGG
rnacentral:rRNA from 1 species